AAGAUGUUAUAUUUCCAACUGGUAAGGGCUAGUUUAUAAACAGAAAAGAACAUGUAGCUUACAUAACGUUUGUUGGAGAAUAUAUCCUGGAAAAAUCAUGAUAUCACAGAUAUACACUAAAAAUCUGAAGGCAAUUAAGGAGAAACAUUUUCAGUAGACGAGUUAUUUAAUAAAGAGAGAGCUUGUUUCAGAAUUGGUAUCUUCGUGAAUAUUUGGCUGCUUGGAAAAAGUUAUGUUGGUGCCGGGAUUCAACCGUUGCCUGGACAGAGGUGGCCACUAGAGUCAUUAGCAUGAACAUCGGCACCAGUGACUACAUAGGUCCCAGGAUUGUAGCCAGCUGCCUCCAGAGAUCACUUGAGAGGUGCAGAGACUGUGGGCCAGCCCCUCAUUCUUGUCUGAGACAGCGACGCCCUCCCCACUCAGGAAUUAUGCACAGUUAGCAGAGCUCUGAAAUGAAUGGCUUCAUUUAAUGAAAUCACAAAAGAAGGAACACCAGCAAGACCACCCAGGCCCCAGCUCCAGUUUUUCCUGAAGAAUCUGGCCGCAUCUCCCUUUUUGAAGGCAGAGUUUCAUCUUGCCCCAGGGAGAAGCCACUUCCUGGGCAUGAGUGUUAAAGAGACAAAAAUGGUGACGUAUGGUCACCACUCCACCAGAAACGGAAGAAAGCCUUAGACGGCCCUGCGUGAACCUGCCCCUAAACACACUGCGCAUGCUCCAUUCCAAAGGGUAAGGCGGGCGCUGCGCAUGCGCGAAACCCACCCUGCGCAUGCGCGGAACCCACCCUGCGCGGGAAGACUCCUGGGAAAGAGGCGAGCCUGUACAGUCCCAGGAUCAAGGUUAAAGACCCUCUUUUUCUAACUGUCUUCUUUAACUCUCUUUUCUCUCUUGGACCUUCAGGCACCUGCUUGGGUCUCUUUCAAGCGAAUUUUCCUUUCUUUCCUGUUCUAAAGCCUUUUAACUAAACUUCCACUCCUGCUCUGAAACUUGCCCCUCUCCUUUUCUGCCUCAUGCCCCUCCGUCGAAUUCUUUCUUCUGAGGAGGUAGGGACUGAAGCGGAGCCAUAGGGAUUCUCCGCUGAUAACUCGGGGUAACUCGGGUCUCUUCCACUGCUGACAUAUGUAGCAAGUCCUGUCUUGGGCUGGCAGGCACCAUGGCCGACACCACAUGUGCAGAGAGAGGGGGAAGACCAGGCAGUGACUCAUGACAUCACCCUCGUCUCUGGAAGGCAAGAUGUAGGUCUCGUCAGGUGCCCUGCAGCGCUGGCCACAGCCAGAACCCCUGCAAUACAAACCAGGAUGAGGGAAAGCCGCCAGAAUACGCCUAUCGCGUUUUUUAUUAGUAAAUCCAGAGAACGUGUUAUAUAGAGUGUGAGACAAUCACCA